GCCGAAUUAUUUUUAUAUGAACUUGUUUCUCUUCUCUAUUAAAUUUCUAUUGAGUUUUUUAGUGCUUUUUGUCCACCAUUCUUUUGAUUACAGAUUUUAUUGGUAUUUUUCUUCUGUUUCUUCUUGGUACUUAUUGGGGAUUUAAACAUUCUAAUUCUGUUCUCUUAGUAGUUGUCCUUGAAAUUUUCCGAUUAUUUUUAACUUAAAAGUCUAAAGUUAAGCAAUAUCUUAACCACCUUUCUCCUUUUUUUUGAGACAGAGUUUCACUCUUCCUGGCCAGGCCGGAGUGCAAUGGCAUGAUCUCAGCUCACUGCAACCUCUGCCUCCUGGGUUCAAGCGAUUCUCC
rnacentral:lncRNA from 10 species